UCCGAGCGAUGUUUUGUCAAGUUUACAGUGAUUCGUGAUCGCGCUAAAUAAAACCUGCUUUACUUCAAAGAAUUCACCUCUAAAACCCAUCAGAAACAUCUUCAGAUCUCUUCUGAACGCUGCUUCUUCUUGUUUUGCUGGGACACUUCCGCUAGACACUUUGAGGCGCACGCAAACGAAACCGAAAUGUGAUGCCGAACCCGUUAAGUGAACCGACGAUCGCUUGGGCAAAGCGCCAGCAGCCAACUGAGUGAGCCAAGGCGCAGCUCGGAGGGUUUUAUGGCGAACUUGACUUCAGCCGCGCACAGUGGGAAGAGUUACUAUAAAAUCGAAC